AAGUCGUAACAAGGUUUCCGUAGGUGAACCUUCGGAAGGAUCAUUACCGUAACGCGGCGGUCCGGCAACCGCAAGGAAGUCGGCCGCCACACGCGUUUAUCACCCUUGACUUUGAGCACCUUUCGUUUCCUCGGCGGGUUCGCCCGCCAGCGAGGACCCCCAUAAACCCUUUGUAAUAGCAAUAUUUGUCUGAAAAACAACCAAUAAUCAAAACUUUCAACAAUGGAUCUCUUGGUUCUG
rnacentral:misc_RNA from 1 species